rnacentral:tRNA from 1 species
GCGCCGGUGGUGUAAUGGUGUCAAGCAUUCCCACCUGGUCAGCAGGAGGCGCGGGCUCGAGUCCCGCCUGGCGCU